rnacentral:rRNA from 1 species
ACAUUAGAUACCCGGGUAGUCCCAGCCGUAAACAAUGUGCGUUAGGUGUGUCGGUAACCACGCGUUACUGAUGCGCCGAAGAGAAAUCGUGAAACGCACCACCUGGGAAGUACGGUCGCAAGGCUGAAACUUAAAGGAAUUGGCGGGGAGCACCACAACAGGUGGAGCCUGCGGUUUAAUUGGAUUCAACGCCGGACAUCUCACCGGAUAAGACAGCUGAAUGAUUGUCAAUCUGAAGGUUUUACAUGACUAGCUG